UCAGGCCCACACAUUUAUUGCACAUCUUGGGAAAAUGGCCUUUUCACUCUAUCGUUGCAGAAGUAGCCCAUCACCAGCACAGAUCUUGGAGCUAGUAGUUUAAAAAGAUUUCUCUUUCAAAGUAAACUGGAAGAAGCCUGCUGUGGGAAUAGCAGCUGCUGGCAGGACAGCAAGUCUUGCACUGGAGCAGUUGCUCAAGACAAACCCAGAGGAGACUCUGGAGUGACUGAGAAGCCAAAGGCUAGGGGGAGCUUUACAAGAGUUGUGCUCAAAGCAUGUGGGGGUAGUGCUCCACUGCCUUCCCGUUCAGCCCCUUGCUAAUAAGCCAGGACCAGCGAGAGAAGAUCUGGGCCAUCUGAAGCAAUCGCACUGGACAGAGAGGGACCAGGGCAGGAAAAACCAUCUCCUAAAACCCUACCUGAAAUAAGCACCCAGGAUUGCAAAAAUUUGUCACAAAAGAGAGAGAUUCAGAGAGUCGUAGAUUGCAAGGCCAGAAAAAUCCACUGAAGCUCCAAGAGAAGACAUAGGGCCCGAUCCAAUGACGCCAUUGGGUGUCGUCCCACUGCCUCCGAAGGCCUUUGAGAAGGGGCUGAAGCAUUCCGCCUUAUUCUCCCUCUUUCAGGAGAAAUUUUCCAUGACCUGACAACAGGGAGCUUUGUCACCGAAUCCAUUCCCGUGUAGCAGGUAGGCUCUGCAAUAGCAUUCUUACUUGGUGAAGAAAUUGCUCCUUUGCUCAGAUGCCACCAGACAGCAAUGUGAUAUUAACCCUCUAGUGCCUGAGGGGUUCAGACUGGGUUUUGUUUUUCUCCAUUGGUCCCAGUUAUGCCCUGGACCCACCCUAAAUAACCUUUUUCCCUCCUUG